UACGUAGGCAGCAAGCGUUGUUCGGAAUUACUGGGCGUAAAGAGCGUGUAGGCGGCUCGCUAAGUCUUGCGUGAAAUCUCGGGGCUCAACCCCGAGCGGUCGUGAGAAACUGGCGGGCUAGAGUGCGAGAGAGGAGAGUGGAAUUCCUGGUGUAGCGGUGAAAUGCGCAGAUAUCAGGAAGAACACCCGUGGCGAAGGCGGCUCUCUGGAACGCAACUGACGCUGAGACGCGAAAGCGUGGGGAGCAAACAGG
rnacentral:rRNA from 1 species